UAAGGAAUAUUGGACAAUGGACGCAAGUCUGAUCCAGCCAUGCCGCGUGAAGGAUGAAUGCCCUCUGGAUUGUAAACUUCUUUUAUAGGGGAAGAAAGAUACUUUUUUUAAGGUAGUUGACGGUACCCUAUGAAUAAGCACCGGCUAACUCCGUGCCAGCAGCCGCGGUAAUACGGAGGGUGCAAGCGUUAUCCGGAUUUACUGGGUUUAAAGGGUGCGUAGGCGGGCAUGUAAGUCAGUGGUGAAAUACCGGAGCUUAACUUCGGAACUUCCAUUGAUACUAUAUGUCUUGAAUAUUUUGGAGGUAAGCGGAAUAUGUCAUGUAGCGGUGAAAUGCAUAGAUAUGACAUAGAACACCGAUUGCGGAGGCAGCUUGCUACGCAAAUAUUGACUCUGAGGCACGAAAGCGUGGGG
rnacentral:rRNA from 1 species